UACGUAGGGGCCUAGCGUUGUCCGGAUUUAUUGGGCGUAAAGAGCUCGUAGGCGGUUCGGCAAGUCGGAUGUGAAAUCUCCACGCUCAACGUGGAGGGGCCAUUCGAAACUGCCGUGACUCGAGUCCGGUAGGGGAGUGUGGAAUUCCCGGUGUAGCGGUGAAAUGCGCAGAUAUCAGGAGGAACACCGAUGGCGAAGGCAGGUCUCUGGGCAUUAACUGACGCUGAGGAGCGAAAGCAUGGGGAGCGAACAGG
rnacentral:rRNA from 1 species